GUGUUCCUCUGUUUUAUUUAUUUUUUGUGUUGCCUUAUUCAAAAAUAUUUAAAUAAAUAUUUUAAAUUAAUUAAAAAGUUUAACUAUUUAUUUAUUCAAUUGCAAAACGAUCUUUGAAAUCAUUGUUUUGUGUUUUAUGAACAAUUUUCUUAAGUUUAACGAUGCCUCUGAUGUCUGGAACAAUGUCAUUGGCAAUUGAAUAAUGGAUCUUGCAGAUCAAAUCGAUGACUAUAUCUGUUCGUUCGAGGGACUUGGUGACUUAACAAUGGACUCCCUAGCCAUGUUCAUAUUCUUGUGGGCCGUCUUGGCCCUCUUCUCCGUUUGGCUGUGCAAGCUUCUCUACCACAAGUAUCUCAACAAGAGCGCCAAUGCGCCAGUCAGCGCCAGCAACAGUCGCCAGAGCAGCGUGGCACCAACAACCGCUGGCGGUGCCAAGACCGAGAAGCGACUCUCCGAGCCACGCGAACUGAUGGCCACCAAGAGCAAAAUCGACGAUCUAUCCAAACCUCUAACGGGCGGUGCCUCAGGGGGGCGUGGACGAUCUAGUGCCUCGCCCAUGGGCGGUGGAAGCGGAGGAUCUGUGGGUGGACCACGUCGUCGCAUGGUCCGCCAGAGUUCCACGGGACCUGAGAAUCGCAAGAAGCGCUAUGUGCCACCGCCGUCGAAUGUAGUGGGACCCGAAACGAGCUCCGUCACGUGGACAAGUCAAGUGUUCCGUUGGCUGUACAGCGAUCUGGUUAUUGUCAACGAGCUGCUCAUGUCCUGGGUGAUUGCCAUCAAUGACACACUGCGCAAAUCCGUCGAGGAGCAUGGUGUGGCAGUUGAAGUGGUCCGAGUGCUGCCCGACAGUCCAGCACCGGGGCUGAACAACAUUUUCUGCAACUGCGAGGAACAGAAUCCAGCUGAAAUGCUCAUCACCUUUGACUGUGACGCGAUGCCAGUGCUGCAGGUGAAGACCUUCAGACAAAAGUCGGGCAAGGUGGAGACAUCGCACUAUAAGGUCACCGUGUCGCGAUUCCGAGCACGCAUGUCCAUACCCAUGAACUACAACACCCUCAAGGGUGAGAUGCGUGUUGAUGGCUAUCCGGACGUGCGCAUUGCCAUGAACUCGGUGGGCGCCAUCAAGGCCAUGGAUCAGGAUGAGCAACAGCUGCAGACAGUUAUCAGCGACAUAUUGACGACGGCACUGCGUGACACCGUCUACCCAGUGGAUUUCUCCAUCUACUCCACCUGUCCGCGUGCCGAAGUGGAGCCAUUGGAGCUACCUGUAAUCUAUCCCGUCCAUUAUGAUUCGCUGGCGCACAAUAUGGAGCAUCUGGGAUCGGGCAUCUUGCGGGACUCACAGCACAUGGUUUCCGGUCGUCGUCUGUUGGUGAAGAUUGUCAAGGGCGAGGGGCUGCGCGAUGCCCACGAUCCCUAUGUGGUCAUCGAGAUGGAUGAGCCGGCCCAAAAGAACCAAACGGGCACACAGCAUGGCAGCAAACCCUACUGGGAUGAGCACUUCCUCUUUGAACUCUCCCCGCAAUCUGCCGAGAUACUCUUUGAAGUCUACGACCGUCCAGUGAUUGCCUCGGAUCCGCCCAAGUUCCUGGGUCUCGGCCUCGUUGGCAUCGAUGAGCUGGCCGUUGGCCCAGCCUCGACGCAGUUGCUCCAGCUGCAGCCGCGUCCCUACGAGACGCAGCCCGUGGCUGGCGCCAUCACCGUGGACUUUGUGUUCAUCGAGGGUGCUGAGAUCCCCGCGGGCGCUCGUCCCAACCGCCUAAAGGAGGCACUGCGUCUCAGCACGCCCGCCAUCAACGAGCACAUCCGCAAUGGCGCCGAUCUUGCCGAUGCUGCUGUGCGUGCCCUCCAAGAUGGAGCUCUCUCCGGCACCAGUGGUGGACAGCCGAGCAAGAGCACGCUGAUUAUCCACAGCGUGCAGCGAAACUCGAGCAAUCCCAACGCAUACAAGGUCGAGCUGAACAAGGAUGGUCGCAUCGAGGUGACCGAGACGCCGACAGCUCUUGACCAGGCCGUUGCCGAGGCUUUUGAGCGUGCUGCCAAGGCCAGCGAAGUGUCCGCUUCGGCCUCGAAUGUUGAGGCCAUCGAUCAGGCCGGCGAUCAGGUUGACAGUGGCCUGGUCAACGAGUCCGCCAAUGCCAACGAAACAGGUAACCCCAUCAACGAGGAGAGCACCGGCGAGUUUGGCCUGCCUAAUGCCGCCUCGUCGCCCAAUGGCAGUGGCUACCACAAUAACUACAGCCUCAAUGGCAGCAGCAAUCUCACCGGCCAACCCAAUGGCAGCGGCUCCGGCUACAACUCGAAUAGUCUGUCCCGGAAUGGUGCGUCCCUCUCCUAUGCUGCCGGACAGCAGCAGCAGCAGUUGGCAGGAGCCGAGCUGGAUGAUCGCGGUCGGAGCAAAAAACGUAAUUUCUUUGGCACCCUCAAGAAGCGGCUAAGUCGCUCCAAAACACGUACCCUUUCGGCCGAUCAGCCCAAUAACAACCAUAAAUCAGUCACAAAUUCCGCCAAUACAACUACAACAACAGCCACUGGAAUAACAAGAACAACCACCGGACCCCUCAAUGGUGAAUCUUCCCGUUCAUUAUCUGUCGAUCGUGCUACUCUGUCUAAAAGCAAUUCACUUGGACCCCGCAUGGGCAUUGGUUCGUCCAUGACCGACCACUCACGUCGCUCUUCAAUUUCAGAAUCUUCGGCAAUCUCAGGUUUCUCCUCGGCCAGCAACAAAACCUAUGUGCACGAGGCAUCCACCCUGGUACUGGAGACCGUUGAGAAUGGUGUCAAGCGUCAUUUCGUUGUGCCGCUGGCCAUUGCACAAAGACCUCGCUGGCGACGCAAGGGCACCAAGUUGCACAUCUACAACGAUCACACCUUCAUAGCCAAGCAUUUGAGCGGUAGCGGGCUACAGUGUUCCAUCUGCAUGAAGUCCAUACCUAGGAGACCGGGCAAGCAGGGCUAUGAGUGCCGCGACUGUCAACUGAUCUGCCACAAGCAGUGUCACGUGAGGGCGCCACAGGCGUGUCCCAAUCCGACAGUACUCUCCAUGGAACUGAUGACUAAUGAACAGUGAUUAAACGCGCACAAAAUCAACAACAACAAAAAUACUCGUACUGCAAAUAAAAUAAGUUUAUGUAUAAUAUAUUCAAUGAGGUCAAAGCUAACAACAACAUCGGAUUAAUCCAGCAUUUUGUAAUUUUGACGCCAAAUGCAAACAGUUUUAUUUUCGCGAUAUACACACGUAUUCAAUCAGGCAGUUAAUCAGACAGUCAGUAAUCAAGCUUCCCGUCCGGUUGCCCCCAGAAGUUGUGGGGGCUUAAGAGUAUUGUUUUUAACUUAGGAAAAUGGAACGAAACUUAACUCGACUGCGGCGGAUCGUAGCAUUAGGAAAUUGUAAAGAAAUCUACAAUACAAUAUGGAAAAAUCGAAUCGAAAUAAUAAUUUUAAAUAGUUUGCAUUCUUAACACUAAGAAAAAACCUCAACAAUAAUGAUGAAAAUGAAAUGAAACUCCCGAACACAGACAAACAAAAAUACUUGCAUGCAUAUAUGGAAUAUCCAUUUAUGAUACUGAAUCUACUUAAUAAUAUUUAUAAUUAUGUUAUUUAAUUUAUACACAAGUGCAAUACUAUGCUUUAAAACCAUAUAAGGUUUUAUUGUAAUGCGUCUACAAAACCGAAACUAAUGGAAUUUUGAAUUUAUUUUUUUUACCGUAAAAUAUAAUAAUUGUACAAAUCCGAAUCAUUUUUGAAUAAAAAUUAUUGGUAAACUGAAAAA